rnacentral:rRNA from 1 species
GUUUGAUCCUGGCUCAGAAUGAACGCUGGCGGCAGGCCUAACACAUGCAAGUCGAACGGAGUUAUAUUGUAGCUUGCUAUGGUAUAACUUAGUGGCAGACGGGUGAGUAAUAUAUAGGAAUCUACCUAGUAGUACGGAAUAAUUGUUGGAAACGGCAACUAAUACCGUAUACGCCCUACGGGGGAAAAAUUUAUUGCUAUUAGAUGAGCCUAUAUUAGAUUAGCUAGUUGGUGGAGUAAUAGCCUACCAAGGCAAUGAUCUAUAGCUGAUCUGAGAGGAUGAUCAGCCACACUGGAACUGAGAUACGGUCCAGACUCCUACGGGAGGCAGCAGUGGGGAAUAUUGGACAAUGGGCGAAAGCCUGAUCCAGCCAUGCCGCAUGAGUGAAGAAGGCCUUUGGGUUGUAAAGCUCUUUUAGUGAGGAAGAUAAUGACGGUACUCACAGAAGAAGUCCUGGCUAACUCCGUGCCAGCAGCCGCGGUAAUACGGAGAGGGCUAGCGUUAUUCGGAAUUAUUGGGCGUAAAGGGCGCGUAGGCUGGUUAGUAAGUUAAAAGUGAAAUCCCGAGGCUUAACCUUGGAACUGCUUUUAAAACUGCUAACCUAGAGAUUGAAAGAGGAUAGAGGAAUUCCUAGUGUAGAGGUGAAAUUCGUAAAUAUUAGGAGGAACACCAGUGGCGAAGGCGUCUAUCUGGUUCAAAUCUGACGCUGAGGCGCGAAGGCGUGGGGAGCAAACAGGAUUAGAUACCCUGGUAGUCCACGCUGUAAACGAUGAAUGUUAAAUAUGGGAAGUUUACUUUCUGUAUUACAGCUAACGCGUUAAACAUUCCGCCUGGGGACUACGGUCGCAAGAUUAAAACUCAAAGGAAUUGACGGGGACCCGCACAAGCGGUGGAGCAUGUGGUUUAAUUCGAUGCUACGCGAAGAACCUUACCAGGACUUGACAUCUUCUGCCAAUCUAAGAGAUUAGACGUUCCCUUCGGGGACAGAAUGACAGGUGGUGCAUGGUUGUCGUCAGCUCGUGUCGUGAGAUGUUGGGUUAAGUCCCGCAACGAGCGCAACCCCUGUCUCUAGUUGCCAUCAGGUUAAAAGUAGCAAGG